UCAUGCAGUCUGCUCGACCAGUCGAGGUUACGUAGAUUCGUUUCCGGAUUUGAUGCGGACUGAGGAAAUUUGAGUCGGUUUUCGCAAGGGUGCGAAAGGGAAUUGCCUAAACUAUAAAUAGGUGUCCCUAGGGUUUUUUUAAGGGUAUGGGAAAUAAUUCUAAGGUGUGGGCAAAGGGUUUUCUAUGUACUUCCAAAGGAGAGGUUAGUAUAUUGCCUUGUAAUCUUCAUUUUUCUUCAUAGUGAAAGUUUGCAUUCGUGGUUUUUUACCCUUGUUGGGGUUUUUC